rnacentral:rRNA from 1 species
UACAGAGGUCUCAAGCGUUGUUCGGAUUCAUUGGGCGUAAAGGGUGCGUAGGUGGCGCGCUAAGUCAGGUGUGAAAUUUCGGAGCUUAACUCCGAAACUGCAUUUGAUACUGGCGUGCUUGAGGACUGGAGAGGAGACUGGAAUUCAUGGUGUAGCAGUGAAAUGCGUAGAGAUCAUGAGGAAGACCAGUGGCGAAGGCGGGUCUCUGGACAGUUCCUGACACUGAGGCCCGAAGGCCAGGGGAGCAAACGGG